AUUGAACGCUGGCGGCAGGCCUAACACAUGCAAGUCGGGCGGUAGCACAGAGAGCUUGCUCUCGGGUGACGAGCGGCGGACGGGUGAGUAAUGUCUGGGAAACUGCCUGAUGGAGGGGGAUAACUACUGGAAACGGUAGCUAAUACCGCAUAACGUCGCAAGACCAAAGGGGGGGACCUUCGGGCCUCUUGCAAUCAGAUGUGCCCAGAUGGGAUUAGCUAGUAGGGGGGGUAAUGGCUCACCUAGGCGACGAUCCCUAGCUGGUCUGAGAGGAUGACCAGCCACACGGGAACUGAGACACGGUCCAGACUCCUACGGGAGGCAGCAGUGGGGAAUAUUGCACAAUGGGCGCAAGCCUGAUGCAGCCAUGCCGCGUGUAUGAAGAAGGCCUUCGGGUUGUAAAGUACUUUCAGCGAGGAGGAAGGCAUUGUGGUUAAUAACCACAGUGAUUGACGUUACUCGCAGAAGAAGCACCGGCUAACUCCGUGCCAGCAGCCGCAGUAA
rnacentral:rRNA from 1 species